AACGCAGUACUCGGUACGGGCGAGUGAACGGGGAAGAGCCCAGCGCUAAAUCCUGUUGCUCUAACGGGUAUCGUCGAGGUGUAGCGUAUAGUAGGCGAAUUUCCUUGAUGGCUGUCGACUUAAAUUCUCCUUGACUGGGGUUCCAGAGAAGGUGAAAGGCCUGUUCAGUCGAUGGCCGUCUUGGAUUCCGUUCUACUUGGAGUCGGGUUGUUUGGGAACGCAGCCCAAAUUGGGUGGUAAACUUCAUCUAAGGCUAAAUACGGCCACGAAACCGAUAGCAAACAAGUACCGUGAGGGAAAGUUGAAAAGUACUUUGAAGAGAGAGUUCAAGAGGACGUGAAACCGGUAGGAUGGAAACGGAUAGAGCCAACGAACAAGCCCGUAUUCAGCUAGUCGGCUGCGUGCGGCAUGCCUGUGUGCUCGUUCAGGGUGCAUGGGUGUGUGCGGUAUGCGGUCGGCUAGUGCAUUUGCGGGUGAUGUGCGCUGAGGCGUGUGGCGGAGUCCUGCAAACUGUCUGGAGAGGCCUCGCCUUCGGGCUUGAAACCUACAGGCGGGGAGUAGGGUUUCUGCUGCAUGUAGACGAAGCGACUAGGUGCAACGCGCUGUCGUGCUGUCGGGCUAGCUGCUUGGCCGGUCUAUGCACUAGGUCUUGUUGGUUGGCUUGGGGGUGCGGCCGCCCUGAUCACCCUCGGGGAAAAUUGGCAUUCCCGACCGUUAGAAACGGAUA
rnacentral:rRNA from 1 species